rnacentral:rRNA from 1 species
GAUGAACGCUGGCGGCGUGCCUAAUACAUGCAAGUCGAGCGAACAGAUGAGGAGCUUGCUCCUCUGACGUUAGCGGCGGACGGGUGAGUAACACGUGGAUAACCUACCUAUAAGACUGGGAUAACUUCGGGAAACCGGAGCUAAUACCGGAUAAUAUAUUGAACCGCAUGGUUCAACAGUGAAAGACGGUUUUGCUGUCACUUAUAGAUGGAUCCGCGCCGCAUUAGCUAGUUGGUAAGGUAACGGCUUACCAAGGCAACGAUGCGUAGCCGACCUGAGAGGGUGAUCGGCCACACUGGAACUGAGACACGGUCCAGACUCCUACGGGAGGCAGCAGUAGGGAAUCUUCCGCAAUGGGCGAAAGCCUGACGGAGCAACGCCGCGUGAGUGAUGAAGGUCUUCGGAUCGUAAAACUCUGUUAUUAGGGAAGAACAAAUGUGUAAGUAACUAUGCACGUCUUGACGGUACCUAAUCAGAAAGCCACGGCUAACUACGU